GACGAACCGUGCGAACGUUGUUCGGAAUCACUGGGCUUAAAGGGCGCGUAGGCGGACCCCCAAGUCCGGGGUGAAAUCCUCCGGCUUAACCGGAGAAUUGCCUGGGAUACUGGGAGUCUUGAGGGAGGUAGGGGCACGCGGAACUUCCGGUGGAGCGGUGAAAUGCGUUGAUAUCGGAAGGAACGCCGGUGGCGAAAGCGGCGUGCUGGCCCUCUUCUGACGCUGAGGCGCGAAAGCCAGGGGAGCGAACGGG
rnacentral:rRNA from 1 species